rnacentral:rRNA from 1 species
CCUACGGGAGGCAGCAGUGAGGAAUAUUGGUCAAUGGCCGGAAGGCUGAACCAGCCAAGCCGCGUGAAGGACGAGGGUGCCACGCAUUGUAAACUUCUUUUGUCAAGGGACAAAAUCAGGCUCGAGAGCCUGACCGAGGGUACUUGAAGAAAAAGCAUCGGCUAACUCCGUGCCAGCAGCCGCGGUAAUCCGGAGGAUGCGAGCGUUAUCCGGAUUUAUUGGGUUUAAAGGGUGCGUAGGCGGGCUGUUAAGUCAGCGGUAAAAGCCCGGGGCUCAACCCCGGCGAGCCGUUGAACCUGGCUGUCUGGAGAGGGCGAGAGGUAUGCGGAAUGCGCAGUGUAGCGGUGAAAUGCUUAGAUAUUGCGCAGAACUCCGAUUGCGAAGGCAGCAUACCGGCGGCGAUCUGACGCUGAGGCACGAAAGCGUGGGUAUCGAACAGGAUUAGAUACCCGUGUAGUC